rnacentral:tRNA from 2 species
GGGGAUAUGGCUCAGUUGGGAGAGCGCUGCCUUCGCAAGGCAGAGGCCACGGGUUCGAAUCCCGUUAUCUCCACCA